AUUGAACGCUGGCGGCAGGCCUAACACAUGCAAGUCGAACGGUAACAGGAAGCAGCUUGCUGCUUUGCUGACGAGUGGCGGACGGGUGAGUAAUGUCUGGGAAACUGCCCGAUGGAGGGGGAUAACUACUGGAAACGGUAGCUAAUACCGCAUAACGUCGCAAGACCAAAGAGGGGGACCUUAGGGCCUCUUGCCAUCGGAUGUGCCCAGAUGGGAUUAGCUAGUAGGUGGGGUAACGGCUCACCUAGGCGACGAUCCCUAGCUGGUCUGAGAGGAUGACCGGCCACACUGGAACUGAGACACGGUCCAGACUCCUACGGGAGGCAGCAGUGGGGAAUAUUCCACAAUGGGCGAAAGCCUGACGGAGCAACGCCGCGUGGGUGAAGAAGGUCUUCGGGUUGUAAAACUCUGUUAUGGGGGAAGAAGAGAGAUAUAAGAAACUCUUCCCGUCUUGACGGUACCAAAACAGAAAGCCCCGGCUAACUACGUG
rnacentral:rRNA from 1 species